GGAGGGAUCAUUACCGAGUGGAGGGCGCUCCGGCGCCCGACCUCCCAACCCUUUGAUUUGAUCAAGACCUCUUCUGCCUCGGGGGCGACGCGGCCUUCGGGCCGCGGUCCUCCCGGUGGUCACCAACCAAAACUCUGCAUCAAUUGUCGUCUGAGUCACAAGUUAAUUCAAAUAAAACUUUCAACAACGGAUCUCUUGGUUCUGGCAUCGAUGAAGAACGCAGCGAAAUGCGAUAAGUAAUGUGAAUUGCAGAAUUCAGUGAAUCAUCGAAUCUUUGAACGCACAUUGCGCCCUUUGGCAUUCCGAAGGGCAUGCCUGUUCGAGCGUCAUUACACCAAUCAAGCCUGGCUUGGUAUUGGGCGACAGGGCCGUCACACGCCCUCCGCCCCAAUGACUGCCGGCGGGACGGACCGAAUCUCAGCGUUGUGAAUCAAAAGCCGCUGGCGAGACGGGACGGCCGUGCCGUUAAACAACCCCAUCAAAGGUUGACCUCGGAUCAGGUAGGGAUACCCGCUGAACUUAAGCAUAUCAAUAAGCGGAGGAAAAGAAACCAACAGGGAUUGCCCUAGUAACGGCGAGUGAAGCGGCAACAGCUCAAAUUUGAAAUCUGGCGCAAGCCCGAGUUGUAAUUUGUAGAGGAUGCUUCUGGGCAGCGGCCGGUCUAAGUUCCUUGGAACAGGACGUCAUAGAGGGUGAGAAUCCCGUAUGUGACCGGCUGGCACCCUCCACGUAGCUCCUUCGACGAGUCGAGUUGUUUGGGAAUGCAGCUCUAAAUGGGAGGUAAAUUUCUUCUAAAGCUAAAUACCGGCCAGAGACCGAUAGCGCACAAGUAGAGUGAUCGAAAGAUGAAAAGCACUUUGGAAAGAGAGUUAAAAAGUACGUGAAAUUGUUGAAAGGGAAGCGCUUGCAACCAGACUUGUUGGCGGUGUUCCGCCGGUCUUCUGACCGGUCUACUCGCCGUCCACAGGCCAGCAUCAUCUGGGGCCGCCGGAUAAAGGCUUAGGGAAUGUAGCUCUCUUCGGGGAGUGUUAUAGCCCUUCGCACAAUACGGCGCGCCCCGGGUGAGGUCCGCGUUUAGGCAAGGAUGCUGGCGUAAUGGUUGUAAGCGGCCCGUCUUGAAACACGGACCAAGGAGUCGAUUAUCUAUGCGAGUGUUCGGGCGUCAAACCCCUACGCGUAAUGAAAGUGAACGGAGGUGGGAACCUUUACCGGUGCACCAUCGACCGAUCCGGAUGUCUUCGGAUGGAUUUGAGUAAGAGCAUAGCUAAUCGGACCCGAAAGAUGGUGAACUAUGCCUGAAUAGGGUGAAGCCAGAGGAAACUCUGGUGGAGGCUCGCAGCGGUUCUGACGUGCAAAUCGAUCGUCAAAUUUGGGUAUAGGGGCGAAAGACUAAUCGAACCAUCUAGUAGCUGGUUCCUGC
rnacentral:misc_RNA from 1 species